UUUUAUGGAGAGUUUGAUCCUGGCUCAGGAUGAACGCUGGCGGCGUGCCUAAUACAUGCAAGUCGAGCGAACAGACGAGGAGCUUGCUCCUCUGACGUUAGCGGCGGACGGGUGAGUAACACGUGGAUAACCUACCUAUAAGACUGGGAUAACUUCGGGAAACCGGAGCUAAUACCGGAUAAUAUAUUGAACCGCAUGGUUCAAUAGUGAAAGACGGUUUUGCUGUCACUUAUAGAUGGAUCCGCGCCGCAUUAGCUAGUUGGUAAGGUAACGGCUUACCAAGGCAACGAUGCGUAGCCGACCUGAGAGGGUGAUCGGCCACACUGGAACUGAGACACGGUCCAGACUCCUAC
rnacentral:rRNA from 1 species